GUAGGGAAUAUUGGGCAAUGGAUGCAAGUCUGACCCAGCCAUCCCGCGUGCCGGAAGAAGGCCCUCAGGGUUGUAAACGGCUUUUGACGGUGAAGAAUCGACAGGAUGCGUCCUGUUUUGACGGUAGUCGUUGAAUAAGCACCGGCUAACUCCGUGCCAGCAGCCGCGGUAAUACGGAGGGUGCGAGCGUUGUCCGGAUUUAUUGGGUUUAAAGGGUGCGUAGGCUGGAAGGUCAGUCAGCGGUGAAAAGCUGUCGCUUAACGAUAGUCUUGCCGCAGAUACUUCCUUUCUUGGAUGAGGAGGAGGCCACUGGAACGGAUGGUGUAGCGGUGAAAUGCAUAGAUAUCAUCCAGAACACCGAUUGCGAAGGCAGGUGGCUGUACCUUAAUCGACGCUGAUGCACGAAAGCAUGGGGAGCAAACAGGAUUAGAAACCCUUGUAGUCC
rnacentral:rRNA from 1 species